rnacentral:lncRNA from 12 species
CAAAGCCCUGGCUCACAAUCCCUGAGCUGCCAGAAAAACCUUCAGACAUCACUCAGGAUAUCAUUUUCUGCAAGCUCUUGUUCAUGCUGUAUAAUAGCUCUGGUGAGCAGCAAGCCAAAUGGAUGCAUUUGUUUCAGACAGAAGAUAAAUGAAAGACCUACUUAAAUGGAGCAAACCAAGUUUCUUUCAGGA